rnacentral:rRNA from 1 species
GAAUCCGCUAAGGAGUGUGUAACAACUCACCUGCCGAAUGAAUUAGCCCUGAAAAUGGAUGGCGCUUAAGCGGGUGGCCGACACCACACCGUCUGGUAAAUGUUAUUUGAUCAGAUGAGUAGGAGGGCGUGGCGGGUGUGUCGAAGCGUGCAUGCAGAUGCGCGUGGAACAGCCGCUAGUGCAGAUCUUGGUGGUAGUAGCAAGUAUUCAAGCGAGAUCCUUGAAGGGCGAAGCGGGGAAGGGUUCCACGCGAACAUUGAUUGGGCGUGGGUGAGUCGUUCCUAAGCCGAGUGGCAAUUGCUAAGUAGCGGCGAAAGGGAAGCGGGUUGACAUUCCCGCACACGGAUGUGGAGGCGGUGACGCGCAUUGGGGCGAACACGCUGGCGACGGCGCUGGGCAGAGUUGUCUUUUCUGUUUGACCUACUUAGCGUGCUGUGUGGAAUCCGCUUGUUGGGAGAAACACGCACGUUGGGGCAGAGCGCCGGGGCUUUUCCGGCGUCCAGCUCGCCGUCGACGGCCCUUGAAACUUUGCCUGCUGAUAUUCUUUAUUGAAUUAAGAUCCACGCCGUGGCGUACCGAUCACCGCAUCAGGUCCCCAAGGUGAACAGCCUCUGCUCAGUAUGAAAAAUGCAGGUAAGGGAAGUCGGCA